rnacentral:rRNA from 1 species
CAAACUGGAGAUGGCGACCGGCGCACGGGUGAGUAACACGUAUCCAACCUGCCGAUAACUCGGGGAUAGCCUUUCGAAAGAAAGAUUAAUACCCGAUGGCAUAAUAGAACCGCAUGGUUUGAUUAUUAAAGAAUUUCGGUUAUCGACGGGGAUGCGUUCCAUUAGGCAGUUGGUGGGGUAACGGCCCACCAAACCUUCGAUGGAUAGGGGUUCUGAGAGGAAGGUCCCCCACAUUGGAACUGAGACACGGUCCAAACUCCUACGGGAGGCAGCAUG